AUCCCCGAAGCACUCGUCAUCUUUAUUCUUCAUCUGGCCAUUCUUUAAACCACUCUUCUUUGGAGUUGCCUGAUUUGGGUGCCUGCUACUAGAUGACCCUGGAGAAAAAAUAGGGACUAAAGUCAGUGUAUCCACAGAAAGCACUAAGUGAAAGUGGAAAAUACAGUACAUCAGUCCUUUGUGGAGAGCGUUACAGGAACCAAUGUGAAAAUGGUAAAGAAUGUUGCCUUUUCUUAAACCACCCAUGACCCUGCACCACCCUAUCCCGUGCCUAUAAAGACCCCAGACUCAGUCAGCAGAGAUGAGAAACAGCUGGACGUUGGAGACUACGGCUGGAUGUCAGAGAAGUGGCUUGACUUCAGAGGAACUGCUUGACUGUGUAACUGUGGAGAAGAAUCCGGCUGGAGACAGCCAGACUUCAGGGGAAAAUUACCUAUCCACCACCCACUGUCCCCUUUUCAGCUCCCCUUCCCACAUAAAUAAAAAAUAAAAUCACCCACAUUUACCAUCCUUUAAUUCGUUCAUGUGACCUCAUUUUUCCUGGACACUGGACAAAAGCUCAGAAGCCAUGAGUGCAGAUACAAAAGGCUGUCACAUUGGCCCUUUGCCCUCACUGGCAGAGGGCAGCUGCAGGCCCACUGAGCUGUUAACACUUAAGCCAUCUGUGGAUGGCAGAGCUAAAAGAGCACCAUAACACAUCCUCUAGGGCUUCAGGAGUUACAGGCACCCCACGUAGGUGCUGCCACAUGGCCUGCACUGAGUUCGCUCCUUUUGGUGCCCAAGAGCGUUCGUUCUGGCUCCUGCACCUGCUCAUCUAUGCACUCACUCCCACAAUGGGUAGAACACAGCGGGUCUGAGUGGAGUUUGAUCCCACUGGCACUGAAACAGCCGGUUCCAGGGCUUGUGCACUCCAGUUCCUGCCUCAUUCACUCGCACACUCCCUUCAGCAAGGAGUUGAGAGCAGUGGGCGGAGUAAAUGAGGUACCCCGUCAUGAGUUCCAUGAAUAGGUCAAGGAAGGGAAAUAUCCUGCUUCAGUUUGAGUCUGAACGUCUGGCAGUUGUUUAAGAGAGAAAUACCCCUAGACUAAAAGAAGGCCUGGUCUUCUUUUAGCUUACAGGAAAAUACUAUUCAGCUAGUCCUUAAUUCUAUGCUUACCCAGCAAGCAAUCUUCUGAUUUUUAAUUUGGCCUUAGGCUAGAUCCCAGCAGUGGGGAAUCCCUGGUUUGUUCAAGAAAUUCUACAUUCUGAGCCAGGUAUACACCUACCAAUACAAAUUGCUAUACUGACUUACAAACCUUUCUUUAGACCUUUCGGUUAAUGUGAUCUCUUUUCUCAGAAUUUUCUCUCUUCUGGGUAAGCAGUUUCUGAAACACCAAAUAAUGAGGGUCCAUACUGAGCUGAUCCUUAGAGGCCAUACUAAUGCACAUCCACAACACAGUAGCCAGCCACACCCUGUCUCUGACACCCUAUUUGGCUACCACACAUCAGUCAACAACUACUCUAGCAGCCAAGGCAGAAGGUCCCACAGAAUUCUCCAAACCACCCACCCCCAGAGAAUCAAGCUCUGGUCUCCAUCUGACUACCCUGAAAGAGUGGAUCAGGUGACUGGUAUGCUAGACUGAACCUCUAUCACAGUCUAAAUAAAUGGAAGGAGGGGUUUCACCAUGUUGGUCAGGCUGGUCUGGAACUUCUGACCUCAGGUGAUCUGUCCGCCUCGGCCUCCCAAAGUGCUAGGAUUACAGGUGUGAGUUACCACCCCCAGCUGUGUGUACAUUUUCUAGACAUUAUCCUCUGUGUUCUUUUAACUUUGCCUAGACCAUGACUGUGUGCCAAUAAAACUUUAUUUACAAAAACAGGCAGUGGGUUGGAUUUGGCCCAUGGGCUACAGUUUGCAGACUUUUGACGCAGAGUAUACACUUAGGGUGAAGUUAAUUCGUAAUAGUUAAUGUGGAUUCAUGUUUGGAAUGACCUUCUUGAUACUUUUUAAUUUGGGAGACCAUCUUCAUAGAUUUGAUUAAUUUUUGACAACCUCAUUCUAGCUAAAGAAGGCCUAUAAGAGGAAUAGGGAAAGUGUUCUGCCAUUUUCUUGUUUACUUAUGAUUACAUUAGUAUUAUCGUUACUUAACAUAUAGUUUCUUUAUGAGAAUCUUUUUAAGCCACAUAUACAUUUUUAUAUGAUUUAGUUAAAAAUUGGCAUGGUUGUAGAGUGUGAAUGCACUUAAUGCCACUGAACUGUACACUUAAAAAUGGUUAAAAUGGUAAAUUUUAUGUAUAUUUUACUGCAAUUUUUAAAAAAUGAUGUAUACCCACUAGCAUGGAUAGACUUCUUGUUAUAGAAAGUCAUAUUUUCCUCAGAUAUCUCAAAUACAGGCAGCAAUUGGCUGGCAUGGAACUUCAUAAGGGUGCUAGUUUUCAUCAAUACAUUAAAAUUCAUAAAGUUUAAUUUCUACUGUUUUUAGUUAAAAUAAAAAAUAGAAUAUUCAGUAUCUUCUUCCUACGUCCUGGUGAAUCAUUCCGUCCACACCUGGGGAAACACAUACCCACUGAAGAGUGACCACUGGGCAAGAGACCUACUUCUAAUAGGAUGUUUUGAUUUAAUACUGAGGCAGUACAUUGAUAAUCCUUAUUCUCUUGUUCUUCCCUUGUCUGUGUAUAUUGCUACUGGUGUUAUCCUGACCUUAUAUUUUCAUACCCAUUCUUUCUUCCUGAUUCAGCUCUGCUUUCUCAUCCCAUCUCUAUUAAACACACAAAAAAAUUCACUGGGCAUGGUGGCACACACCUGUAAUCCCAGCUACUCGGGAGGCUGAGGCACGAGAAUCGCUUGAACCCAGGAGGUGGAGCUUGCAGUGAGCCAAGAUUUCACCACUGCACUCCAGCCUGGGUGACAGGGCGAGCCUCUGUCUC